AAAAAAGACUGCUCAGCUCCUCCUCUGGAUUAGCAAAUGCUCCUGGGCCAAAGCAGUUCCAAAUCUCAGGUGAUGACCUUGUCUCAUGUCUCAUGGAGAACACAGAAGAAAUCAGUACAUGAAGUUCUUCCUACUCAAUCUGAGGAAACCUUUCAGUCUGGAGAAUAAAUGAGGAGCCAAAUUUCUUCACCUCCCAUUUUUGUACACUCAGAGCACAGAGAAUUAAAAUUUAAAUAAAG